AGGUCACCCAAGUAUAUCCUGACUAAGUUUUUACUUGAUCAGGGAUACAAAGGAGGAAGAUUUGCUGGGCCAGAACUAUGCUCAACAAUGCCUGUAAGUGACUCAAAUAUUUACAGACAGGAUUGUUGAGAGACGACCUAUGGAAAUGCUCCUGCUAGUUUUCAGACUCUGUUGGAAUAGUACAAAUAAAUCCCUUUCAUCAGAACUCUUUGUCUACAUCUUAACAGCUGAGGAUUGGGAUUGCAUGCUGACGAAAAGCGAGACAGGAUAAUGACAGGUAGCUAAGCAUCCAUUCAGUCUUUUAUUUACCAAACCUUUAAUGAUUAUUUUUCCUGUGCUGCCUAGUUCCAAAGAACAUGAGUUCACAGUUGAUUAGCCCUCUGACUAAUCAACAUGGAUGGCAGAAAUUGGGGUUGGAAAGUCUUCCUUUCCUCAACCCCAGGAAUCAGAGCUCGAGCCUGAGAUGGUGAAUACAAUGCAGGCUGUGGUAUAGGUUUUGCCUGGCAUUGAGUCCUAAUGGGUUAAAUAAAAUGGUGAGGUGAUCCCGUGGUCAGUGCUCUCCAGGAGGUAGAAAAGUGAGUGAUCAGGGAAGAGGUAGACUUAUAAUGCUAGAAUCAAGAGAAAGAUCCAGAAAAUGUGAAAAGCAGCCAUGGGGAACUAAACAAAUAGCAACCCUAGGCUCUUCAGAACCUGGGGGAGUUGUGUCCAGGAAUGCUCAAUAGAAGUGUUAUGCUAGCAAGGAAUUAGUUUUUCCUUUGCUUCACAGAGCGGUGGCAGCCAGGGGAUCUAGGGAACCACAUCAGGCUUGGUUAACACUGCAAAUUUAAGAGGCCUUUUCUAGGUUCUGACAAUCGUUGCUGUUUGACGGUUGUUAGAGUUUUGUUUCCAUUUUUAAAAGCAUGAACACUUGAGGAAGUGGACUUCUAUGUUGGCACCGCCACUUACUAGCUGUGUGACACUGAGAAACUGCUUAACCUUUCUGCAACUCCAUUUUCUCAACUGUCAAAUGGGGAUGAUAAUAGCAACAACGACAACACCUACCACAGAUAGAUAAUUCGUGUUCCAAACUCAUAGCUGUCACUAAGGUAUACAUAUUCUGAUAGGAAGACCUAUUUUGCAAUCUGUUACACAAUAUCUGCAGAAGAGUUUGAACUCUCCAAGGGACCUAUCUUUUCAUUCAUCCAUAAAUCUCAGGUAAGCAGUGAAUGCAGAGGUUGCCUUUUCUGUUAAAAAAAAAAAUUGAAGACUAAACAAAUGCCUACAUUUCCAUAACAAUUGCAGCAACUCUCAUUGUGGUUUAUCCAUGAUGUUGUUCAAUAUUAUCACUUAAUGCUGCUCAAUUACUGCCUUGUUUGAAAGCAGAGCACACUUUGUUAGAGUUCUAUCUCAAAAGACUUAAAAAAAACACACACGCAAAAAUGGACAGGACUCCAUCUGCUCUGCAAAUACAAUUUCAGGAAAGGUGAUUUUAUGUGGGUGAGCAUUUAGAUUGAUCUGAGAAGACGAGGCAUCUAAACACAGCGUAAAAACAGACCAUGGAGAAGAGCAAGACGGGAGGCAAGAUGGGGAAACUAGAUGGAUUCCCAACUCCAGCUGAGUCAGAUCGCCAUUGCGUGGCUUCAUUCCUUUGUUUGAAGUAAAUUCCCAGAAUAUCAGACACACCCAUACUCACAUGUAAGUAGAAAAACACUUUCUAAAGCCAAAUAAAUAAAAAUGAUAUCUGGAUUGGCUUUUCUGUUACAUGUCUCUGCCUCCUCAGUCUACCUUAACUGAUAAUUAACUUCAUUGAAGUUCAACUUUUGUGAACUUUAAUCCUCCCCCAAACAGAAAGACAAACUGAGGCAAGUUGAGGAGGCAUGUUCAAGAUUUGUCAAAUUACAAGAAUUUGUUACUUGAAUAAUAAACAACAUUUAUAAUCCCAGACCUGUGGGAAGCAUUUCCAGGAAAUAUGGAUCAUCACAUUGGCUCUUGUUACCAGAACUGUGCAAGGCUCCCAUUGGCCGAACACAACUGGAUUUCAGAAGACUUAAUGGAGACUAUACAGGUCAGCCUUCCAGGGUACAGAGCAAGAUGGAGAGUGAUAGACUAGAUACAGAAGAGCAAUCCCAAGAUAGCUCACUCAGAAGACAACACUCACUCUGACUACCCAACUUCAUUGAAACUAAAAGAAACUUCAUCUUGCUUUAGAGGAAAAUAAUCUGGGCCAGAUACCCAGUUUGGGCUGAUAAAUAUACUGCUGUGUAUAUUUUACACU
rnacentral:lncRNA from 1 species